ACCUCUAGCAUAACUAGUAUUAGAGGCACUGCCUGCCCAGUGACCAUGUUAAACGGCCGCGGUAUUCUGACCGUGCAAAGGUAGCAUAAUCACUUGUUCUCUAAAUAAGGACUAGUAUGAAUGGCUAAACGAGGGCUUUACUGUCUCUCAUUUGUAAUCAGUGAAAUUGACCUCCCCGUGAAGAGGCGGGGAUGAUAAAAUAAGACGAGAAGACCCUAUGGAGCUUUAAUUAUAAGCUUAAAAUUAUUUAACUUUGCCUCCAAAGAGAUAAACACUAAUUAUGUAAGCAACUAAUUUUGAUUGGGGUGAUCUCGGAGAAAAAAAUAACCUCCGAGCGGUUUAAAUUCAGACCUACAAGUCUAAAAACCCGUAAAUUGAUCCAAUUUUUGAUCAACGGAACAAGUUACCCUAGGGAUAACAGCGCAAUCCUAUUCAAGAGUCCCUAUCGACAAUAGGGUUUACGACCUCGAUGUUGGAUCAGGACAUCCCAAUGGUGUAGCCGCUAUUAAU
rnacentral:rRNA from 2 species